rnacentral:lncRNA from 1 species
AAGGAGGCAUCUUAUCAAAAAGGCUUGAGACCUUAAAUUCUUCAAUGAGAAUGGUUUCAUUGGUUUGAAGCUUCCUAAGGUAUUCAUGGAAUUGAUAGAGUUGGUCAUUUAUAGGUUCGUUGUCUACCAUAAUAUAUCUAAGAAAUGAUGUGAUGUUGAAUCGUUCAACCCCAGCAUUAUCAAAGCCAUAAUCAGACUCUAGGUUAUCC